rnacentral:lncRNA from 1 species
CUGUACCCUCUCUCUUUCUCUCUUUCUGGAUAGAUUUUCCCCCUUUUUUUUUCUUUAUUUUUAAAUUCUGAAGUGGAAAAUAGAAAAAAAAAAAGGUUGGAAUAUAUUCGUGCAUUGUUCAAGGGAAUCUGAGAUGAGAAAAAAGUGGUUUUGUCGACCACAAUCUGCCAGCCCAGCUAUGGCUAAAAUGGCUUUCAAGGCUUAGCUCAGCUCAGCUGGCUAAAGAAAGAAAGUUUGUAGAAAGUCACCGUCCACUCGCCUGAGAGAGCGUGUACUCGCCUCGUCGAAACAGAUUAAGGUUGGGGCUGAAGCCGGGUCACCGACACGCGAUUGACAAUCACCUUUUUGUUUUUCGUCUACCAAAGACUCAUUGACGAGGAAAGGCAAAAGGGGAGGAGAGAGAGAGAGAGAGGGAAUGACGGAUGAGGCCCCCCUUGUGGCCCUGUCUUUCAGAGAACCGUUGGAAAGUGGGCCCCAAAAGAUUGACGUCAGAGGCGGCGCUAUGUCCAGCAAGGUCAGGAACGUUGGAUCGGAUCGAGAAGUCUGAGUCGAAAGAUUAUUCAGAAGCUUCCGAGGUGUUUUUGCGUGAGCGUGUGCAGACGAUGGAAAACUGAAAGACAUGAAUCCCAAUGUUUGCGUUGGUGUCUUCGGCAGUGGCAGGGUGAAAAGGAGAAAGAAAGAA